rnacentral:tRNA from 1 species
GGCUCAGAUGGUAAAGCGUCUGUCUGCAAUGCAGGAGACCAGGGUUCGAUCCCUG